UACGUAGGGUGCGAGCGUUUGUCCGGAAUUAUUGGGCGUAAAGAGCUUGUAGGCGGUUUGUCGCGUCUGCUGUGAAAAUCCGGGGCCCAACCCCGGACUUGCAGUGGGUACGGGCAGACUAGAGUGUGGUAGGGGAGACUGGAAUUCCUGGUGUAGCGGUGAAAUGCGCAGAUAUCAGGAGGAACACCGAUGGCGAAGGCAGGUCUCUGGGCCACUACUGACGUGAGAAGCGAAAGCUGGGGAGCGAACAGG
rnacentral:rRNA from 1 species